rnacentral:rRNA from 1 species
UACGUAGGGGGCAAGCGUUGUCCGGAAUUAUUGGGCGUAAAGAGCGUGUAGGCGGCCAGAUGAAGUCCGCUGUGAAAUCUCGAGGCUCAACUUCGAGCUGUCGGUGGAAACUAUCUGGCUAGAGUCCGGAAGAGGAGAAUGGAAUUCCUGGUGUAGCGGUGAAAUGCGCAGAUAUCAGGAAGAACACCGGUGGCGAAGGCGGCUCUCGUGGGCCUGUCCUGACGCUCAGGCGCGAAAGCUAGGGGAGCGAACAGG